GAGUGUUGCUAAGUGGUAAAGCACUUGCCUAGCAUGUGCAAGACCCUGGGUUCAAACCUCAGUACUACA
rnacentral:tRNA from 1 species